rnacentral:rRNA from 1 species
UACGAAGGGGGCUAGCGUUGUUCGGAAUCACUGGGCGUAAAGGGCGCGUAGGCGGCCGAUCAAGUCGGGGGUGAAAGCCUGUGGCUCAACCACAGAAUUGCCUUCGAUACUGUUUGGCUUGAGAGCGGAAGAGGUAAGUGGAACUGCGAGUGUAGAGGUGAAAUUCGUAGAUAUUCGCAAGAACACCAGUGGCGAAGGCGGCUCACUGGCCCGAUACUGACGCUGAGGCACGAAAGCGUGGGGAGCAAACAGG